rnacentral:rRNA from 1 species
CAGCCGUAAACAAUGUGCGUUAGGUGUGUCGGUAACCACGCGUUACUGAUGCGCCGAAGAGAAAUCGUGAAACGCACCACCUGGGAAGUACGGUCGCAAGGCUGAAACUUAAAGGAAUUGGCGGGGGGAGCACCACAACAGGUGGAGCCUGCGGUUUAAUUGGAUUCAACGCCGGACAUCUCACCGGAUAAGACAGCUGAAUGAUUGUCAAUCUGAAGGUUUACAUGACUAGCUGAGAGGAGGUGCAUGGCGUAGUCGUGU